GGGGCGUGUCCGGCCAGGCACCCGGAGCGGAGCGUUCAUCCCGCAGACGCAGAUGCUGUUGCUCCUGAGACGAGAGGGCCCUUGAGGUACCGAGCCAGACGCGGAAGUGAGGCCAGUUCUCGGGGGGCUCUGUGGGCUCCAGCUGCCUCGCGGUGGGGUUCCAGAUCCAACACCGCAAGGCCCUUGGCGGCACUGUAAGUUCAGUUCAGUUCAGUCGCUCAGUCGUGUCCAACCCUUUGUGACUCCACGGACUGCAGCACGCCAGGCCUCCCUGUCCAUCACCAACUCCCAGAGCUUGCUCAAACUCGUGUCCAUGGAGUCAGUGAGUGGAAACUGAGGCCAGAAAGGGAAAGACUUGCUCCAAGUCAAAAUGCUGGUGUCCAGGCAGGAUCCUGCCAGUCCAGCCAGGACAGUUUUCUUUCCAGCACUGGCUGCAGCGUGUCCAGGCCCCAAGGUGACCUGUGCGUCCGUUUCCCCGAUCUAGCGCAUCCUGUGUCCACAGAGCGCUCCUAUCUGGUGGAAGCCCACCUGGCCCCUGUUGAUCCGCUGGAAGCCUCUGCCCCGCUCCACCACGCCCCACCCGAAGUCACGCACGCUCUCCAGUUUCUGCAGCCUUCCCAUCCUCCAGAGUCCUAUCUGGAAGCCCCUCCAUGCAGCCUUCUGCCUUCCCCCACCCCACCCUGGGAUGAAACCUCUCCCUGCUCCGAGCUCUCACUUGCUUCAUCCUCGGGUCUCAUGUGGUUGUGUUUAAAGUGGACCCAUUGCCCUCCUUGGGAUUCAGGGAAGAGCAAAGCCAGUGUGUCCACACUCAGGUGUGUGAGCUGUCUGAGAACCAGGCUGUCUGGUGCGUCCCACGCAGGAGAACACGACGGACCCCCCAGGCUGGUGGCAACACCCGUGCCAGCACCCAGGGACCUCAGCGAUGGUGCAGACAGGACUCCUGCCUGACCCGCGGGGCUGCUGGGAUGGGGCAGAGACCAGACACCGGCCACUGGCCUGAGUGCCGGGAGAGGCCCGGCAGAGACCCGUCACACACUCAGCACAGGCAGGGGCUGGAGUCCAGAACUGGCCGGAGACUGCAGUCCCAGGGCUGGACUCUGCAGCAGGCUGAGCCCAGGGCGGCCCGAGGCUGAGCAUGCGCAGACACAGAGUGGCAACCAGGCAGUCUCGGGCCCGUGUCCCGACACCACUCCAGGCGCAAGUGACCUGGGCCCAGCCAACCUUUGUGUCACGAUGCAAAGCUUGCAAAGUGCGCCUUUGUGAAUAUCUGUGAAUGUCUGAGCUCCUUACACACAGGCCCCUUUGCACAGGGAGGCACAAUUGUCAACCCCACUUUGCAGAUGAAGAAACUGAGGCUGAGAGACUUGGAAAGGCCCUGGGGGUUCCAGGUGCCUGUGGUCAGCCUGAGCCAGACCCCUGACUGAGCACUCUUUCCACGACUCCAGUAGCUUCUCUUGGGGCUAGGCAGCCCCUGAGGGGCUGGGAGGAAGCGGGCUCAUAGGGUGACCGCCUACGCCUGGCAUUGUUAAUGGAGGCUCUGCUCAGCUGGACCCACGAGCGCCUCCCCGGGAACUGGGGCAGGGCCGGGGUGCAGCCCAGGAGUCUGAAUCUGCAGGAACGCACCUGCACCCCGCAUCCUCAACUCCAUGUUGCUACAGAUGAUGGGGAGGAAGGCUCAGUGUCGUCAGACUUUAUGAAGAAGGGAACCGACCUGCAAUACAGAGGCAGUGCUGAGUCCCAGACCUUGAACCUAGAGCAGAGCUGGGGGACCCACAGCCCGUGGGAGAGGAGGCAGGCGAGGCCCCCGGGCUUCGGGCUUGAGAGGCCUGGGGGGACCUGCCCUGCGUGUGGACAGCUCUGUGGGCGCUGUGUGUGGGGCGCUGGCGGCAAGCUGCUGACUCAGUGUCUGGCCUGCAGCAGCUGGCAGCCAGGAGGCUGGGCUGGGCCAGGCCAGAGCCCAUUGUGGGGGACCACGUCCACAGGCCAGCUGCUGCUGGCCGCUCCCUCCGUGACCCAGGGUAGGAGGAAAUGCUGACCUUUUAAAGGUCGAUCAAAACCCACAGCACCCCACUCCGGCCCCUCCACUGUUUCCCCUCCUCUGUGCACCUGCAAAGACCCCACAGGCUCUGAGCUAUGUCUGGGUUUUGGGGGCAAGGGCACAGGAAGGGGAUCCCUCUCUGUGUCCUGAGCAUGUUAACUCCUUGGGAGAGCUGCUCAUCAGGGCCUCCUGCUGCCCACCGCAGGUCGGGGUGGGAAGGCUGGGACUCCCCAGUGGAGCAGCAGGGAUUCUGCCAGGGGCGGAGGCUAGAGCAGGUGCUCUGGGCCUCAGGUGAGGGUGUCCCGCCUGCUGCUAGAUGCUGGCGGGGGCGGGGAGACACUGUCCUGCCCAGGGCAACUUUGCAGCCUUAGAGAAGACAGGGCCGUCCUCAGGAACUUUCUGCCAAGUGGGAAGGGCUGCCGCGGCAAUGUCCAGGGGUGUACAGGGCACCCUGAACCCCUGCUUCUCCACUCUGUCCCUGGAGGCUGACGGCUCUGGGCUCUGCUUUAGUUCCAGCCAGUGGGAGGGUCCUGCAGGAGGUGAAAGGGCAGGAGGAGAGGGUGGGCUGAACGGCGGCAGGUUUCCCUAGUGUCUCCUUUUCAGAAUGCCCACGUGGGACAUGGGCUGCCACCCGUGCCGAGGACUCUGAUUCCCUCGCCAGGUUCUGGUGUGGAACCUCCCUGUGCCCCCCAAGACUGGCAAAGACGCCCAACGCCACUGCCUCCUGGGGCUCCCUCCCUCAGGGGCUGCUUAGCCCUGUCCCCCACCAGAAUAAACAUCUCUUCAUGAACUGUCCGCUACGGCUGCCUCAGAGAGUUUCCUGCUGGAACCCUCACCAACCCAGGCUGUGGUGUGCUUAGUGGCUCAGCUGUGCCGACUCUGUGCCCCACGGACUGUAGCCCGCCAGGGCCCUCUGUUCGUGGAGUUCUCCAGGCAAGAAUACUACGUGGGUUACCGUUUCCUUCUCCAGGAGAUCAUCCCAACGCAGGGAUCAAAGCCGCGUCUCCUGCAUUGCAGGUGGAUUUGCUUAGCACUGAGUCGCUGGGGAAGCCCAGGUAAUGAGUAAUAAUAACAAGAUGCGACAGAGAGUACAAGAAAGAGGCUAAGGUGAGACCUGAUGUCACAAAACAGAAAGUGCACAAUUUUUAGAAAGAAGAAAGAUGAUUGGUUCUUUGAAAAUGAGAAGAAAAUAUAACUACGGAAAAAGUGUUUAAAAUGCACCAUCUAUAUAAAAAGUGAAAAUCUAAAUAAAAUCGAUAGCUUAGUAAGAAAAUAUUACCCCACCAAGACUUUCUCAUAAGGCAUUAUAGACUGGAUGCUUAUGCCCCAACAAAUUCCUAUGUUGAAACUGCAACCACGGCAUAAAGUGGUGUUAGGAGGUGGGGCCUUGGGCAGGUGACUGUGGCCAGAGGGUGGAGCCCUCACGAAGGGGGUUAGUGCCUGGAAGAGAGACCCCCGGGGGUCUCCCACCUCCCAGCACGUGAGGACACGGAGCCGUCGGGCAUCUGUGAGCUGCAGACAGACCUCGCCAGACGCCAGAUCUGCUGGCGCUUUGGCCGUGGACUUCGAGCCUCCAGAACCAUGAGAAGUAAGUGCCUGCUGUUUACAAGCCCGCGGCCUGCGGUGCCCCGUCACCGCAGCCGGAGCGGCCUGAGACGCAGGGAGAGAAGCCCUGAAUGGUCCAGUCACGCGGGGGGAGGGCAGACGCAGCAGACGACCCGACUUCCCUCACACGGGCUCGGGGGCAAGUCCUCCCAGCUCCUCCAGGAAUGUCAGGCGUGUUAUUUAUAACGAUCUAAAGCAGAAACAAACAGGGCCCAUCCCUGGUUUGUCCUCUGAAGGUAACACAGGCCUGAACAGCAGCCCGAAAGGAAGACUAAGGACGAACAUCGCUUUCUAACGGAAAUGCGGAAACCCCAGGUGGCGCUGGAUAGUACUGCUGUCUUGACCAUGUGGAAUUUGUUCCAAGAAUGAAAGGACGGUUCAAUAUUCGGAAAUCUUACAGUUAAAUUCACUGCAUUAAUAGUAUAAAAUAGGAAAAAUCAUGGUAUAUUGAUCAAUGCUAAAAAUACAUUUGAUAAAAUUCAACAGUUACUCCUGAUGUGCAUUCUUAAACUCAGAAUAGCAAGAAUCUUCCUAACCUCAGAAAUAAAUCAAUCAAAUCUUAACAUCAAACACUGCCUCCACAACUCUCAAACAUGGUGUGUGCGUGCUCACUCAGCCGUGCCCAGCUCUCUGUGACCCCAAGGCCUAUUAGCCCACCGGGUUCCUCCGUCCACAGGAGUCCCCAGGCAAGAAUACUGGAGUGGGUUGCCAUUUCCUACUCCUGGGGAUCUCCCCAACCCAGGGACUGAACCUAUGUCUCUUGCAUCUCCAGCACUAGGAGACAGAUUCUCUACCGAUGGGCCGCCUGGGAAGCGCCUCAAACAUGGUACCCUACUCUGUUUUCAAUGUGAUAUUUACAUGUCCCUGAGCUUGUUUUAGUUGUUUUAUUUUUUCUUUUUUAAAUUAUGAAAAUAUGAUAAGACGUUUACAGGAGACUUGGAAAAUACAGAACAAAGUCACGUAUAGUUCUGCUCUACAUUGCAAUUGUUCGUUUUAUUUAUUUUCUUGUUUACUUCAUCUCUUCCGUGGUCGAGGAUUUCGUUUGCCUUGCUCAUGGUUGUGCACCCAGAAUCAAGAACAGUGCCUGGCAUGAAGCACAGGCCAAAAAAUAUUUGAUGAAUGGCUGAAUAAAUGAAUAAGUAAAUAUUGGGAGGAACAACUCCACAUAUUUCCGGAAAGGUUAAAAAUCAAACAAGGAUGGAUGGUAUUGCUGCUCAAGUUCAGUAUGAUUACGAUUCUUCUAUUCCAUGUGAAGACGAGAGAAAGCAAAUGCCAGAUCUGUGUGUGGAAAACAAAAGUCACGCUGUUCAGAUGAGAUAUUUUCACGACUUAGAAAAUUUAAGAAAACAAACAAGGAAUUUACUAAGGUGGCCAAGUGGCAAGUCAACCAGAAAAAGCUCCAGCUGUAAAUGUGAGCGAACGCAGUGGUGAGAAGGAUUCUCUGGGAGAAAGGCAGAUGACCAGCAGACACAGCAAACGCUAGGAAAGGUGCUCAACCAGAAGUCACAGUUACGGCAGUAAUGACAGCAGGCACAGCCUUCAGACCUACUAGCACCCAGUCUGCGCAGCCCCAGGGGCGGCCGCCCGCCGCCCUGCUCAGGAGCUGUGGUUCAGGUGAGUGAUGACAUUCGGGGUGUCACCGAGAGGACACACACAAGGACAGUCAUCACGGAACUGCUCGACAGCCCAGAAUGAGAAGCCCCUGAGUGCACCCGCGGACGAGUGGGUAAAUGACGUGUGCUGUGCUCCCGCAGGAAGUGCUCCCAGGCAGGGUGAACGGGCCAGACCUGCGCACAGUUGCACGGAUCAACCCCCAAACAUGCUGCGUCACAGAGGCAAACGGCCAGUGUUCACCAAGCACGUGCGUCUGCACGAGACGCUUACCCAUUGUUUACCGUCCACACGGGCAGAGUCAAAUGAUGGAGGCACGCGUUCAGUUCUACUGACCUUGACGCCGAGUUUCUCUGGGGAGGGAGGAAGGAGAAUGGGAUCAGGGAAGGGGAAGCUUCGGCUGUCUGUGAGAUAGUCAUGGCUUUGGUCAUUAAUGAGCUGUGAGUUUUACGCACAGCAAAUGCUCAGAUGCGUGCCAGUCGGUUUUCACAAAUACUCAGCAAGCCAGGCCCCUUCCCGCCGCUCCCAAAGGUUCCCACGUGUCCCUCCCCAGUCCAUUCCCGCCCCAGACGCGACCUCGGAGCUGAUAUCUAGUGUCAGAGGUUCCUUUGCUGAUUCGAGAAUCUCAGUAAAUGGAAUCAUGCUCUUCCAUGUCUGGAUGGUUCCAGCACAGUAUUUCUGAGCUUCGCCCACGCUGUUGAGGUAUCAGCAGGCUCUCUCUUGUCACUGUUGAGUAGGGAUCCCUUCUGUAGCUAUGCGAAGUUUGUUUGCCUGACUCCUGCUGACGAACAUCUGGGUUUCUAGUCUCUGACUAAUAUUAAUAAAGCUUGAACAUUCUUAUACAAGGCUUUGGAGAGGACAUAUAUUUUUAGUUUCUCUUGAAACUAAAGGGGAAAUGCUGAGUCAUAGAAAAAAAAGUGUGUGUGUGUGUGUGUGUGUGUGUGUGUGUGUGUGUGUAUACUUUCCAAGAAACUGCAGUAAACUUUUUCACUUUCAUCGGUAGUGUGGGAGGUUCCACUUUCCUCACAGCCUUGCUGACAUUUGGCAGUGUCAGCCUUUUUAAUUUCAGCCAUCCUAUCCUCCUUGAUAGUUCUUUGAUGACGAAUGAUAAGCACUUUUCAUGUGUUUGUUGGCCACUUGUGUGUGUUUGUGUGUGUGUAUGUGAGAAGUUGGUUCAAGUCUUUACCCAUUAAAAAACGGUUGGAUAUUUCUCUGUUAUUAAGUUGCAGGGUUCCUUACGUGACACGGAUGCAACCCACUGGAGAGCCGUGUGCGCCUCGACUGCUCUCUGCCGUUUUGCGAUUGGCCUGCUCAUUUUCUCGAUGGCUCGUGAUGCAGCUUGAAACGGUAUUCAGUGGUCCAAGCAGCACUCACUGAGCCUUCCUCCCCCUGGCCAGCCACACUGGCCCUCGACAGAAGCCGCUGGCCAUGUGUUUUGGGCCCGUUACUGGACACUCUGUUGUGCUGCACUGAUUAAUUGGUCUCUUCCUUUUUCCAGUACCACACUGUCUCGAGUACUGAAGGCAUCGGUAUACUUUAUUGUUUUGAAAAACAGGAUCUGAAGCACAAGGAGGAAAAUGUUAACAUUUGUUAAAUCUAGUGGUGGGCACAAGGGUGUUGAAGCCUCUCAAAACAUUUAAAAACAUAAACAUUAUAAUGGAAGACAGGUUCCAGUCACAACAGCAACAAAAGCUUAUCAGUUCCUAAGAAUAAAAUAAAUGGACAAGUUCUUUAUUAAAAAAAAAAAAGGUUAUUGAAGAU
ensembl:lncRNA